GAGAUCCCUUAGUAGCGGCGAGCGAACCGGGAAGAGCUCAUCGGGAAGGUUAAUGGUGACAUUAACCGGUGUCCGGUUUGGAUUGAUGUCCUGACUAACUAAACAAUGUUGUAAGUCCAUUGAAAAAUGGCAUCAGAGAAGGUGAUAAUCCUGUCUCAACAUUGUUGCUAACUAGUUAGUCCUUUGCAUAGGCUCAAUCUAGCGAGUAGAGUUGAUUGAAAGUUCAACUUGAAUCAGGAGAUAAGUCUCUCCUAAAGCUAAUUAUAAGGCGAGACCGAUAGUGAACAAGUACCGUGAGGGAAAGUUGAAAAGCACUCUGAAGAGAGAGUGAAAAGGUCGUGAAACUGUCAAGGUCGAUCCGAAGGGUAUGUUACUGUGACUCAAUGCUUAGCUCUAAUAAUGACUAAGCGUCAGAGUUGUGCAAUCAAUUUGACUUGUAAGAUUGUGAUCAAUUUUUGACUGUUGUUAACAGGCAAUUUGACUUGAUCGGCACUUUUAUGAUUGGAUGAUGUGUGUUCGCGCGCGCGUUCGUUCGAUGAUAAUUGUGUGUAAUGAUCUAUUGUCUCAUUGUUGUUAAUGACAUAGUUUGAAUGCGAUUCAUUCUACUAAAUGCAGGUCUUUGAUAGCAAAUUCAAUGUGCUCUUCGACCCGUCUUGAAACACGGACCAAGGAGUGUAAGUUACCUGCAAGUGUUGGCACUCAUUGAAAGUGUACUCGCGUAAUGAAAGUGAAAACCAAAUCGGUGAAAACUUCGGGCUCACUUUUUCACAUUCAUUGUGAUUGAGAGAGAGGUUGUUGGAUGUUUUGGUUUUAGUGGUGAUAGCGCCAAGAUGGUGUCUCGCAACCACAGACAGUUUUGCUCGAAUAAAAGCUUAACUGAUCUUGAGCAGGUAGCUUACGACCCGAAAGAUGGUGAUCUAUGCUUGGGCAGAGCGAAGCCAUACGAAAGUGUGGUGGAAGCUCGUAGCGAUUCUGACGUGCAAAUCGAUCGUCAGACCCGAGUAUAGGGGCGAAAGACUAAUCGAACCAUCUAGUAGCUGGUUUCCUCCGAAGUUUCCCUUAGGAUAGCAAAAGCUCAAGUUUAAAUUUGUUUGAUUACUGACAAAGCAAUUUCAUCGGUUAAAGCGAAUGAUUGGAGGCUUGAGGAGACGUAUGUGCUCUUCACCUACUCUCAAACUCUAAAUCGGUGAGAUGUUCUUGUGACUUAAUUGCACUCGAACUGUUUUGCGAUGGACGUUUUCAUCGAAUUGAAUGCGAGUUUUUUGUGGGCCGUUUUUGGUAAGCAGAACCGGCGAUGAGGGAUGAACCUAACGUUAAGUUAAGGCGCCUAACUACUUGCUCAUGAGUUACCAUGAAAGGUGUUAAUUGAUAUUGACAGCAGGGCGGUGGCCAUGGAAGUUGGAAUCCGCUAAGGAGUGUGUAACAACUCACCUGCCGAAUCAAUUAGCCCUGAAAAUGGAUGGCACUAGAGCUCGUGGCCUAUACUUAACCAUGAAUUACAAUUUGAACUGAAGUUUAUUGUUGGCGGACGAAAGGCUAUUCUCUCUAUGUAUGUAGUGAGUUGGCCGAUGUCUAAAAACUUUAUUCUUUGUUCGUAAUUGAACUUUCGAAUCACAAUGGUGUGUUUAUGUGUUUGUUUGUUUGUAGGGCACGCAAACUGCCGACACAACUGUCUUUAUAGAUAGUGUAUCUAGCGGCUGUGUGUGUCUUUCAUUCAUUCAUUCACAUAUGUAUCACGAUUCCCUGAUUUGAAAAUUAUUAAUUCAUGAGUAGGAGGACACAUUGUUUGCGUUGAAGGUUUAGCGUGAGCUAAACUGGAGCGAUCAAUGGAGCAGAUCUUGGUGGUAGUAGCAAGUACUCAAAUGAGAACUUUGAGGACUGAAGCGGGAAAGGUUUUCAUGUGAACAGUGGUUGAACAUGAGUUAGUCGAUGCUAAAAACCAGACUAAAGUCGGUUUCUUUCAAUCUUAACAGUUUAAUAAAUUGCUCUGUCAUUGAUUCAAUGAAUGAUCGGAGGUGAAUCUGAUUGAACCCGUUUUUUCGGGGGUGUGAUCGGAUGAUUCUGAUUGUUGGUUGUUUCAAACAUGAUUGGUGAUUUAACUGUGUAGUUUUGAAAGCAUAUCAGGUUAAAAUUCCUGAACUGAUUCUAUUGGAAUAAUACGUUGGUAACAACUGCUAAAUCUAAUUCGUUAAUGUAACCUUGGCGAAGAGUUCUCUUUUCUUUAUAACAUGUAGUAGAUACCUUGGAAUUAGCUCAGCUAGAGAUAAGGAUCGAAGCAUGAAAGAGCACAACAGCAUUUGUUGUGUGCCAAUUGUUUACAUUAACACUUGAAAAUUAGAUUGUAGCUGGUUCCAAUAGAAUUAAUCGUACCGAUUACCGCAUCAGGUCCCCAAGGUUAAAAGCCUCUUGUCUUGGCACAGUGUAGAUAAGGGAAGUCGGCAAAAUCAAUCUGUACCUUAGGUAGAAGGAUUGGCUCUGAUGAUUGAGUAUGACUAGCCUUUUUGAUUUGACGUCUUCAGUGGUAAUGCUUGGGACGGAUGUGAUGUGUCUAUGUGGUAUGAUUGAUGUAUACAUGCAUUUGCGCACUUUCGAAAAACUUUUCUUCGCAAGACGAAUCGUUGUAAGUAGAUUGUGUGUGUGUUGUGUUUUGUGUAUAUCAUCAUCUCUACACUAGAUUAUACAGAUCAUCUUUUAUCAUGCAUAUGCGCCGAGUCGGAUAAUUGAAAGGUUGAUCUUGUAUAACCUUGAUUGUGUUUGAUACGAGCAUGUAUUUUGCGUGAGCAAGAUACGUGUGAGUGUAAUUCAUGAUUGUAUGGUUUUACUUGAUUGUAUGUUGUACAUUGAACAAUCAAAUCACAACUGGUUCGGACCCCGGGAAUCCCACUGUUUAAUUAAAACAAAGCAUUACAAUGGCCAAUUUAUUGGGGUUGACACAAUGUGAUUUCUGCCCACUGCUCUCAAUGUCAAAGUGAAAAAAUUCAAUUAAGCGCGGGUAAACGGCGGGAGUAACUAUAACUCUCUUAAAGUAGCCAAAUGCCUCUCCAUCUCAUUAUUGACACGCAUGAAUGGAUUAACAAGAUUCCUUCUGUCCCUAUCUACUUUCCAGCGAAACCACACCCUAUGGAACGGUCUAUGUAUAAUCACCGCGGAAAGAAAACACUGUGGAGCUUGACUCUAGUUUGACUUUGUGAAAAGACUCUAAAGGUGUAGAAAAGGUGGGA
rnacentral:rRNA from 1 species